rnacentral:rRNA from 1 species
CUUAAAUUGAAGAGUUUGAUCAUGGCUCAGAUUGAACGCUGGCGGCAGGCCUAACACAUGCAAGUCGAGCGGUAGCACAGAGAGCUUGCUCUCGGGUGACGAGCGGCGGACGGGUGAGUAAUGUCUGGGAAACUGCCUGAUGGAGGGGGAUAACUACUGGAAACGGUAGCUAAUACCGCAUAAUGUCGCAAGACCAAAGUGGGGGACCUUCGGGCCUCAUGCCAUCAGAUGUGCCCAGAUGGGAUUAGCUAGUAGGUGGGGUAACGGCUCACCUAGGCGACGAUCCCUAGCUGGUCUGAGAGGAUGACCAGCCACACUGGAACUGAGACACGGUCCAGACUCCUACGGGAGGCAGCAGUGGGGAAUAUUGCACAAUGGGCGCAAGCCUGAUGCAGCCAUGCCGCGUGUGUGAAGAAGGCCUUCGGGUUGUAAAGCACUUUCAGCGGGGAGGAAGGCGGUGAGGUUAAUAACCUCACCGAUUGACGUUACCCGCAGAAGAAGCACCGGCUAACUCCGUGCCAGCAGCCGCGGUAAUACGGAGGGUGCAAGCGUUAAUCGGAAUUACUGGGCGUAAAGCGCACGCAGGCGGUCUGUCAAGUCGGAUGUGAAAUCCCCGGGCUCAACCUGGGAACUGCAUUCGAAACUGGCAGGCUAGAGUCUUGUAGAGGGGGGUAGAAUUCCAGGUGUAGCGGUGAAAUGCGUAGAGAUCUGGAGGAAUACCGGUGGCGAAGGCGGCCCCCUGGACAAAGACUGACGCUCAGGUGCGAAAGCGUGGGGAGCAAACAGGAUUAGAUACCCUGGUAGUCCACGCCGUAAACGAUGUCGAUUUGGAGGUUGUGCCCUUGAGGCGUGGCUUCCGGAGCUAACGCGUUAAAUCGACCGCCUGGGGAGUACGGCCGCAAGGUUAAAACUCAAAUGAAUUGACGGGGGCCCGCACAAGCGGUGGAGCAUGUGGUUUAAUUCGAUGCAACGCGAAGAACCUUACCUGGUCUUGACAUCCACAGAACUUUCCAGAGAUGGAUUGGUGCCUUCGGGAACUGUGAGACAGGUGCUGCAUGGCUGUCGUCAGCUCGUGUUGUGAAAUGUUGGGUUAAGUCCCGCAACGAGCGCAACCCUUAUCCUUUGUUGCCAGCGGUCCGGCCGGGAACUCAAAGGAGACUGCCAGUGAUAAACUGGAGGAAGGUGGGGAUGACGUCAAGUCAUCAUGGCCCUUACGACCAGGGCUACACACGUGCUACAAUGGCAUAUACAAAGAGAAGCGACCUCGCGAGAGCAAGCGGACCUCAUAAAGUAUGUCGUAGUCCGGAUUGGAGUCUGCAACUCGACUCCAUGAAGUCGGAAUCGCUAGUAAUCGUAGAUCAGAAUGCUACGGUGAAUACGUUCCCGGGCCUUGUACACACCGCCCGUCACACCAUGGGAGUGGGUUGCAAAAGAAGUAGGUAGCUUAACCUUCGGGAGGGCGCUUACCACUUUGUGAUUCAUGACUGGGGUGAAGUCGUAACAAGGUAACCGUAGGGGAACCUGCGGUUGGAUCACCUCCUUACC